rnacentral:rRNA from 1 species
AUACGGAAGGUCCGGGCGUUAUCCGGAUUUAUUGGGUUUAAAGGGAGCGCAGGCGGAGAUGCAAGCGUGACGUCAAAUUUCGGGGCUCAACCCCGUCUCGCGUCGCGAACUGCGUCCCUUGGUUGCGGGAAGGGGAGGCGGAACUCGUGGUGUAGCGGUGAAAUGCAUAGAUAUCACGAAGAACUCCGAUCGCGAAGGCAGCCUUCCGGCCCGUCAACGACGCUCAUGCUCGAAGGUGCGGGUAUCAAACAGGAUUAGAUACCCUGGUAGUCCGCACGGUAAACGAUGAUUACCCGCUGUCGGCGGUAGACAGUCGGCGGCCAAGCGAAAGCGAUAAGUAAUCCACCUGGGGAGUACGCCGGCAACGGUGAAACUCAAAUGAAUUGGCGGGG